UGUGUUCACUACUGUAAGUUGCUCUGGAAGAGCGUCUGCUAAAUGACUAAAA
rfam:Salmo salar isolate Sally breed double haploid chromosome ssa16, whole genome shotgun sequence.